CGCUACUGGUGGCUGCCGGGGCGAAAGCUUAGCAAGUUGAGAAAGCACGACAAUAAUAAUCCGAGAAGCAGCUGCUAAAUGAACCGUCCGUCGGUCUAAAGACACUGUGCAUACCUUAUA
rnacentral:rRNA from 1 species